CAAUAGCGUAUAUUAAAGUUGUUGCAGUUAAAAAGCUCGUAGUUGGAUUUCUGGUUGAAGCGACCGGUCGGGCGUUGAUUCGUCUGCACUGGAGUCGGUUUUGGCCAUCCUCUAGGAAAGUGCGUCUGGUAUUAAGUUAUCGGGCGUAUGAUCCUGGUCUUUUACUGUGAAAAAAUUAGAGUGUUUAAAGCAGGCCUUCGCCUUGAAUACAUUAGCAUGGAAUAAUAAGAUAGGACUUUGGUCUAUUUUGUUGGUUUGCAGACCGAAGUAAUGAUUAAUAGGGAUAGUUGGGGGUAUUUAUAUUCCGAUGUCAGAGGUGAAAUUCUUAGACUUUCGGAAGAUAAACUUAUGCGAAAGCAUUUACCAAGGAUGUUUUCAUUA
rnacentral:rRNA from 1 species